AUCUAGCUGACGAGUCCCAAAUAAGACGAAAACGCGUCAAACUGGAU
rnacentral:hammerhead_ribozyme from 1 species